rnacentral:lncRNA from 1 species
CAUUAUCAUGGUUGAUCAAGACCAAUUCAAGUUAACCGGCCGGGCAGCCAUUGACGGCGUCUGUGCACUGUGCCGUUCGCGACUAUAGUAGAUAGCAAAGGCUUGGCGGAGUCUCUGAGGCAGUUGACGGCGAAGAGAUGCGGCGAGGCAGCCAAUGGCAUUGUCUGUGGCGGCCAUUGACGACGAAGAGAGUGAGGGUGCGUCGGAGGAAAUGCGGCCAAUCAUCUCUCCACAUGCCGGAUGGGUUCGAGAAGAAGGUUAAAGAAAGGGGAAUGGUGGGUAGGGGCGGUGAUGCCAACUUCGGCACAUCGCAGACCGACCGUACUGGAAGGAGGGGCGGAGGCGCUGAAUUGAGGCUGGAGUGCUGCGCAUCACAAACCGGAAUGGGGCGUCUCCAACUUGAAGCCGGAGUAUGACGAAUUGCGGCAGCGAGGGGAGAGUCGGAUGUGAGACUGGGGGAAGGGGAAUUGGGAGAGAGAAGGAGAGCCGCGUGGAGACGAAAGGGAAAUGAUAAUGGAAUUUGGGAAUUAGGAGUGAGAAAUU